CCACCUAGCCUAAGACGGGUACGGGCCUUGAGAGAGGAAGCCCGGAGAUGGGUUCUGAGACACGAACCCAGGUCCUACGGGGCGCAGCAGGCGCGAAACCUUCGCACUGCGCGAAAGCGCGACGAGGGGAGACCGAGUGCCUCUCCUUUUUUGGGGAGGCUUUUCACAAGCCUAAAAAGCUUGUGGAAUAAGGGCUGGGCAAGACGGGUGCCAGCCGCCGCGGUAAUACCCGCAGCUCAAGUGGUGGUCGCUUUUAUUGAGCCUAAAACGUUCGUAGUCGGCUUUGUAAAUCCUUGGGUAAAUCGGGCCGCUCAACGGUUCGAAUUCUGAGGAGACUGCAAAGCUAGGGACCGGGCGAGGUCAGAGGUACUUUCGGGGUAGGAGUGAAAUCCUGUAAUCCCGAAGGGACCACCUGUGGCGAAAGCGUCUGACUUGAACGGCUCCGACGAUGAGGAACGANGGCUAGGGGAGCAAACCGGAUUAGAUACCCGGGUAGUCCUAGCUGUAAACUCUGCCCGCUUGGUGUGGCCUGUUCUUCGGGAGCAGGCUGUGCCGGAGCGAAGGUGUUAAGCGGGCUGCUUGGGGAGUACGGCCGCAAGGUUGAAACUUAAAGGAAUUGGCGGGGGAGCACCGCAACGGGAGGAUGCGUGCGGUUUAAUUGGAUUCAACGCCGGAAAACUCACCUGAGGCGACCAGCGUAUGUGUGUCAGGCUGAAGACCUUACUCGAACAAAAGCCGGAGAGGUGGUGCAUGGCCAUCGUCAGCUCGUACCGUAGGGCAUUCACUUAAGUGUGAUAACGAGCGAGACCCCCAUCCCUAGUUGCCAACUUUUCCGAAGGGAAAGGUGCACUCUAGGGAGACCGCUUCUGCUAAAGAAGAGGAAGGAGGGGUCGACGGUAGGUCAGUAUGCCCCGAAUCCUCAGGGCUACACGCGCGCUACAAAGGACAGGACAAUGGGUUCCAACCCCGAAAGGGGA
rnacentral:rRNA from 1 species